UCUGCAAAAGAGUGGCACUUUAGUCAAAAUUUAGUACGUACGCGUUGAUGUUUCUUAAAAUAUUUGUCAUGUAGUUACAUGUCUAUUUUGAAAGGAAAAGUUUACGUUUUAAAUGUUGUGUGCCGCUCGUCGGCACUUGAGUUACGGAGCUGGAUGAAUAAUAUGAACUGGUUCUCUGAUCAGGCGCAAUAUGACAAUUGUAAAAUGUCAACGCCAGUCUGACUACUACAUAUCAUUCCACUGUAGUUCAAUGAACUUAAUUCAAUGAACUGUUUACCUUCAAUGUGGGACCAGAUCUUUCACUUGUGGAACAGCUGAUUUAUUGAUUAAUUUAUUGUUUGUUGGGUAAAAACAUACAGAUACAAAUAUUUAUAAAAAUAGAGAAUAUUCCGUUUGCAACCAUUGUAAAAUGCA